CCAGUGCUCCAUCUUCAUUUAAGCAAAUGUUUAAUUUAAACAUUUGCUUAAAUGAAGAUGGAGCACUGG